rnacentral:rRNA from 1 species
CAGUAGCCACGGUAAUACGUAGGGUGCGAGCGUUGAUCGGAAUUACUGGGCGUAAAGCGUGCGCAGGCGGUUCGUUAAGACAGAUGUGAAAUCCCCGGGCUUAACCUGGGAACUGCAUUCGUGACUGGCGAGCUAGAGUAUGGCAGAGGGGGGUAGAAUUCCACGUGUAGCAGUGAAAUGCGUAGAGAUGUGGAGGAAUACCGAUGGCGAAGGCAGCCCCCUGGGCCAAUACUGACGCUCAUGCACGAAAGCGUGGGGAGCAAACAGGAUUAGAUACCCCGGUAGUCCCUGUCUCUUAUAA